UGAGGACCAAUGAGGAGUAAUCCCGAU
rnacentral:piRNA from 1 species